rnacentral:rRNA from 1 species
UGUAAGCGUAUACCAAAGUUGUUGCAGUUAAAACGCUCGUAGUCGGAAUUUGGCAGUUCCGGAUGUGUGCACGUCGUGUGCGCACUUCGCGGGGAUUGCUUUUGUGGUCUUGCGUAGGAUGAGGCACUUUUAUUAGUGAACGUCCUCACGCAACCACUUUUUACUGUGAGAAAAUCAGAGUGCUCAAAGCAGGCAUUUGCCGUGAAUGUAUUAGCAUGGAAUAAUAGAAUAGGACUUGGUUCUAUUUUGUUGGUUUGUUGGGACUGAGUAAUGAUUAAGAGGGACAAUUGGGGGCAUUUGUAUUUCGGUGCUAGAGGUGAAAUUCUUAGAUUACCGAAAGACAAACUGCUGCGAAAGCGUCUGCCAAGGAUGUUUUCAUUGA